CCAGACCCAAAGUGUUCGGCAUGGAGGGGGCCAGCUCUGCGCGAUUGUUGGGGGAUGGGUGUGGGCAACUCCCCAGAAGGUCCCCGUCUGUACCAGCUGGUGUCACCUCGUCACGAAGCAGGCAGACCCUCAACUGGCUUUAGGGCCUGGGAUGACUUGAGUGUGCAUCCAGACCCUGUGGGGAUGGGUAACCCAGGCCGGCCCUGCCAAACCCUGCCAGAGAGGGAACGCUGUCCUCUCCUUCACAACAUGCAUGCUGUUGCUGUGUGCCUACCUGGUGCCCCACUUUCCAAGCCCUCCCAAAGCUGGGAGUUUUCAGUUACUCCCAAGAAACGUGCCUAGAAUCCCAUCCCAGUGAGCUGUGGGCCCCGAGCCCAGGGGUCCAGGAAAGCUGGGGCAUUGCUGGGCAUUUUGGGCUGGAGCUGAUGGCUGGAUGACAUGGUCCCCGCUCAGCGCUACCACACUCCACAAACACCAGGGCCACAGGGGCCACAGCCAGGCCAGGCAGGUCAGGUCCAGCAAAGUCACGGCUUGACAUGGACGUGACCUUGGCACAUGAGCAGAACAACCCAAUGGCUACAGCAAGCACAGCUGAGCCCGGCCAGACCUGUUGAAGUGUACGGCAAAGAUAUGAGGUCAAAGGACGCUGGCUGACAGGCUGGGAAGGAGUCCGCUGCAUGUGGGAGCACAGCCUUCCCUGGCUGGAAACCUCAUGGCCACGCAGGCGUAUAGGACCCUGUCAGAGACAAAGAGAGCAGGACCCCGGUCUGAGCUGCGGGGGCAGACUGCAGCCGGUAAUGACCUGAGGGUCACGCGUGACCAAACUCAACAGAAUCGGUCAGAGGUGACAGGAAUUGUCCCAAGCGCGCUGAGACGCCCCACGAUCCUCGGGUGUUUGUCCUCUGGGUGCACACGCACAAAUCCACAAGCAGGCCUGCGGUGAGCCCCGCGUGGUGUUGUCACAGUCGGGGCGCAUGCCGGGGCUCAGCCCCAG